UACGUAGGGUCCGAGCGUUGUCCGGAAUUACUGGGCGUAAAGAGCUCGUAGGUGGUUUGUCGCGUUGUUCGUGAAAACUCACAGCUCAACUGUGGGCGUGCGGGCGAUACGGGCAGACUGGAGUACUGCAGGGGAGACUGGAAUUCCUGGUGUAGCGGUGGAAUGCGCAGAUAUCAGGAGGAACACCGGUGGCGAAGGCGGGUCUCUGGGCAGUAACUGACGCUGAGGAGCGAAAGCCAGGCGAGCAAACGGG
rnacentral:rRNA from 1 species